rnacentral:rRNA from 1 species
CAUGCAAGUCGAACGAUGAAGAGCAGCUUGCUGCUUGGAUUAGUGGCGCACGGGUGAGUAAUAUAUAGGUAAUGUGCCUCUUAGUCUGGGAUAGCCAUUGGAAACGAUGAUUAAUACUGGAUACUCCUUCUAACUCUAAUGUUAGUCGGGAAAGUUUUUCGCUAAGAGAUCAGCCUAUAUCCCAUCAGUUAGUUGGUAAGGUAACGGCUUACCAAGGCAAUGACGGGUAGCGGGUUUGAGAGGAUGAUCCGCCACACUGGUACUGAGACACGGACCAGACUCCUACGGGAGGCAGCAGUGAGGAAUAUUGCACAAUGGGGGAAACCCUGAUGCAGCAACGCCGCGUGGAGGAUGACGCAUUUCGGUGUGUAAACUCCUUUUAUAUGUCAAGAAAAUGACGGUAGCAUAUGAAUAAGCACCGGCUAACUCCGUGCCAGCAGCCGCGGUAAUACGGAGGGUGCAAGCGUUACUCGGAAUCACUGGGCGUAAAGGACGCGUAGGCGGAUUGGAAAGUCAGAUGUGAAAUCCUACAGCUUAACUGUAGAACUGCAUUUGAAACUUCUAAUCUAGAGUAUGGGAGGGGGAGAUGGAAUUAGUGGUGUAGGGGUAAAAUCCGUAGAUAUCACUAGGAAUACCGAAAGCGAAGGCGAUCUCCUGGAACAUUACUGACGCUAAGGCGUGAAAGCGUGGGGAGCAAACAGGAUUAGAUACCCUGGUAGUCCACGCCCUAAACGAUGAACACUAGUCGUCGGGAUGCUUGUCAUCUCGGUGAUGCACUUAACAGAUUAAGUGUUCCGCCUGGGGAGUACGG